UACGUAGGGUGCAAGCGUUGUCCGGAAUUAUUGGGCGUAAAGAGCUCGUAGGCGGUUUGUCGCGUCUGCUGUGAAAACUCGGGGCUUAACUCCGGGCCUGCAGUGGGUACGGGCAGACUAGAGUGCGGUAGGGGAGACUGGAAUUCCUGGCGUAGCGGUGAAAUGCGCAGAUACCAGGAGGAACACCGGUGGCGAAAGCGGCUCACUGGACCACAACUGACGCUGAGGCGCGAAAGCUAGGGGAGCAAACAGG
rnacentral:rRNA from 1 species